CCAGACUCCUACGGGAGGCAGCAGUGAGGAAUAUUGGUCAAUGGUCGGGAGACUGAACCAGCCAAGCCGCGUGAGGGAGGAAGGUACAGAGUAUCGUAAACCUCUUUUGUCAGGGAACAAAGACUGGGACGCGUCCCCGGAUGAGUGUACCUGAAGAAAAAGCAUCGGCUAACUCCGUGCCAGCAGCCGCGGUAAUACGUAGGGGGCAAGCGUUAUCCGGAAUUACUGGGUGUAAAGGGAGCGUAGACGGUUAAGUAAGUCUGGAGUGAAAGGCCGGGGCCCAACCCCGGGACUGCUCUGGAAACUAUUGAACUUGAGUGCAGGAGAGGUAAGCGGAAUUCCUAGUGUAGCGGUGAAAUGCGUAGAUAUUAGGAGGAACACCAGUGGCGAAGGCGGCUUACUGGACUGUAACUGACGUUGAGGCUCGAAAGCGUGGGGAGCAAACAGGAUUAGAUACCCGCGUAG
rnacentral:rRNA from 1 species